GUGAGGAAUAUUGCACAAUGGACGCAAGUCUGAUGCAGCAACGCCGCGUGGAGGAUGAAGGUCUUUGGAUCGUAAACUCCUUUUCUCAGGGAAGAGAAUGGACGGUACCUGAGGAAUAAGUCACGGCUAACUACGUGCCAGCAGCCGCGGUAAUACGUAGGUGGCAAGCGUUAUCCGGAAUUACUGGGCGUAAAGCGCACGCAGGCGGUCUUUUAAGUUUGACGUGAAAGCUCCCGGCUUAACUGGGAGAGGUCGUUGAAGACUGGAAGACUUGAGGCAAUGAGAGGGGUGUAGAAUUCCCGGUGUAGUGGUGGAAUGCGUAGAUAUCGGGGGGAAUACCAGUGGCGAAAGCGGCACCCUAGCGUUAGCCUGACGCUCAUGUGCGAAAGCGUGGGGAGCGAACGGGAUUAGAAACCCCAGUAGUCC
rnacentral:rRNA from 1 species